AGGACGAACGCUGGCGGCGUGCUUAACACAUGCAAGUCGAGCGGUGAUCCUCCUUCGGGAGGUGAUCAGCGGCGAACGGGUGAGUAACACGUGGGCAACCUGCCCUCACACUGGGAUAACCUCGGGAAACCGGGGCUAAUACCGGAUACGACCUCGAGCGGCAUCUCUUGAGGUGGAAAGCUCCGACGGUGAGGGAUGGGCCCGCGGCCUAUCAGCUUGUUGGUGGGGUAAUGGCCUACCAAGGCGACGACGGGU
rnacentral:rRNA from 1 species